rnacentral:rRNA from 1 species
AUUGAACGCUGGCGGCAGGCCUAACACAUGCAAGUCGAGCGAGCGGCGGACGGGUGAGUAAUGUAUGGGGAUCUGCCCGCUAGAGGGGGAUAACUACUGGAAACGGUGGCUAAUACCGCAUAUGAUGGCUUGACCUGCGGUGCAUUAGCUAGUUGGUGAGGUAACGGCGCACAAAGGCCACGAUGCAUAGCCGCCCUGAGAGGGUGAUCGGCCACACUGGGACUGAGACACGGCCCAGACUCCUACGGGAGGAAGCAGUGGGGAAUAUUGCACAAUGGGCGCAAGCCUGAUGCAGCCAUGCCGCGUGUAUGAAGAAGGCCUGAGGGUUGUAAAGUACUGUUAGCGGGGAGGCGUUACCCGCAGAAGAAGCACCGGCUAACUCCGUGCCAGCAGCCGCGGUAAUAC